rnacentral:rRNA from 1 species
UAACCUGCCCAAGAGAUCGGGAUAACACCUGGAAACAGAUGCUAAUACCGGAUAACAAUAGAUGAUGCCUAUCAACUGUUUAAAAGAUGGUUCUGCUAUCACUCUUGGAUGGACCUGCGGUGCAUUAACUAGUUGGUAGGGUAACGGCCUACCAAGGCGAUGAUGCAUAGCCGAGUUGAGAGACUGAUCGGCCACAUUGGGACUGAGACACGGCCCAAACUCCUACGGGAGGCAGCAGCU